rnacentral:rRNA from 1 species
GACGAACGCUGGCGGCGUGCUUAACACAUGCAAGUCGAACGUGAUUUUUGUGGAAAGCCCUUCGGGGACGGAAAUGAAAUGAAAGUGGCGAACGGGUGAGUAACACGUGAGCAACCUACCUUACACAGGGGGAUAGCCGUUGGAAACGACGAUUAAUACCGCAUGAGACCACAAAGCCACAUGGCUUAGGGGUAAAAGAUUUAUCGGUGUAAGAUGGGCUCGCGUCUGAUUAGCUAGUUGGAAGGGUAAAGGCCUACCAAGGCAACGAUCAGUAGCCGGUCUGAGAGGAUGAACGGCCACAUUGGAACUGAGACACGGUCCAAACUCCUACGGGAGGCAGCAGUGGGGAAUAUUGCACAAUGGGGGGAACCCUGAUGCAGCGACGCCGCGUGAGCGAAGAAGGUUUUCGAAUCGUAAAGCUCUGUCCUAUGAGAAGAUA